AGCAGCCGCGGUAAUUCCAGCNCCUNUAGCGUAUAUUAAAGUUGUUGCAGUUAAAAAGCUCGUAGUUGAAUUUCGGGGUCAGCAGGUUGGUCGUGCCUCUGGUACGCACUGGUUUCGCUGAUUCCUCCUUUCUGAAGAACUGUAAUGUCAUUAAUUUGGUGUUGCAGGGAAACAGGACUGUUACUUUGAAAAAAUUAGAGUGUUUAAAGCAAGCUAACGCUUGAAUACAUUAGCAUGGAAUAAUGAAAUAGGACGUUUGAUCCUAUUUUGUUGGUUUCUAGGAUUGACGUAAUGAUUAAUAGGGAUAGUUGGGGGCAUUAGUAUUCAAUUGUCAGAGGUGAAAUUCUUGGAUUUAUUGAAGACUAACUACUGCGAAAGCAUUUGCCAAGGAUGUUUUCAUUAAUCAAGAACGAAAGUUAGGGGAUCGAAGACGAUCAGAUACCGUCGUAGUCUUAACCAUAAACUAUGCCGACUAGGGAUCGGAUGAUGUUAAUUUUUUAAUGACUCA
rnacentral:rRNA from 1 species